CUGAGAUCGAAGAGGAAGAAGAGGUCAUCGAACGACGAACGAUGUAUUCCUGAACACCAGACGCUGUCAAGCCAUCGGGGACCCAAUUUGUCCGAGCACUCCAAUGUACUCUACUGAGGAUUGCUGUCACAUUCACCUACAACGAUCCAGCAUCAUUAUGCUUCGACCAAGACAACGAUGACUAUCUGAUAGAGUGCCGGAACGUAUCUCCUGCUGGUUAGCCUUCAACGUGCAACCUUCCUGCGAUUACACAGAGUGUGAAGCUAUCGUCGUCACGUGAUGCCCAGGAAAGCUACUUAAACGACGCUCGGGACGCUCUGCGCCGCAGUUUUGUGGGGCUUCACUUAGGCACGCAUACUCAUGUACUCUGCUUGUUUUUAGGGCUGAACUGGCGUUCGCUACACGGACAACAGUAAACAUAUCUACAGGCUUCACCCCGGCGUUCAUGAACUUGGGGCGAGGGGCACCCUUUCCAGUAGAGAAUGCUCUGCGCCUCCGGGAUCGCAGUACUCGGCCUCCUUAUUCAGGUUUGCUGAGGACCUUCGGAGUCGACUGGACGAUGCAGCUCGGACGGCUCGGGAGAACCUGGACGUCGCACGGUUGGACCAGGCUCGCCAGUACAACCGAGGGCGACGGAAUCUCACCUACAGCGUCGUUGACCUCUCAUCCUUCGACGGACUCACCCGCUAAGUGAUGCUGCGCGCGGCUUUGCAGCCUCGCUCGCAGAUAGGUGGGAUGGCCCCUUCGAGGUAAGUGCGUGCUCCUCCGGCCUCACUUACAGGCUGUCUGUGACACGGGCGAAGCAACUUGGCCAGUGCAUAUCUCGGACCUGAAACCUUACCAUCUCCGAGACCCCGAAAGCGGAGACUCUGACCUUCCGCCUCCUCAACACCUGGACCCGGAUUGCCCUACCGGACCAGCAUCCAGUCGCUACAACUUGCGUCCCCGCAGGCGGCGCACGUAGUAGCCACUAUCUCGGUCACUAGGACCUAGUGCUCACGAUUUAUGUGAUAUUAGUGUGAUUUCUGUUUCGCAGUUUUCCACAAAGCCAUUUUAGGGGAGAGCCCUUUCGAGCUCUCACGAUGUGGAGAUACCCUCUCACCGUAUUCCCUUUUUCUCCUCUCGGCAGAUACCAUGCUGCGACCCUGCCGACAUAGGACGGGCCAGCCCCGACCCCACCGCCAAGAGACAGGAGGACGCUCCCGAGCCAGGUCGCCCCCGGAGAGGACGUCCCCCCCUCCCUCCGCAGCAGCGAUCGGCAGCAACGUGGACGGUCGUCCACGGUGGACGACCAGUUGGCUGGGCUUCCCACAGCCGGUGGGCCGCCCAAGCUCGCCCCCUCCGACCCUUUGAGGACCCCCCUCCCUUCCGAGGACUAACGCUGUCCGACCGGCACACCGCAGAUCCACCGUUGCCGCUGACGGAGGAGGAGCGGAGGAUCCUCUGACCGGUGUGCGCGGUGCCGGAGAUCCACAGGACCACACAGCAACGAGGCGCCCUCCACCGCACAAGGAUCGAGGCAGCACGGCCCUCGGGCAUCGAUGUGGCUACGGCAUUGGCCACCCUCAGACGUUUACGUCCGGAACUCCUAAGACAGGACCCUCCACCGCCGCCCGCCCAUCACUUCCCAGCACGCCAAGACGAGGAAGUCGUCAUUGAAAUGCCCGACAUAUCGGACGCCGAAGACCUCUAGAAGACACUGAAUUGAACUUUGGGGUGGGGGAGUGUGGGUGAUAAGCUAUCACCGCCCAGGUAUCACCCGUACCAUCCGUACACGCGAGGGGGGGCGCUGCAACAGUAACUAACGGGCUUUUAAAGCAAGACGAGAGGCUCUCUCGCUAGUUGUGUUUUCAACUGCUGUACGGGCUAGAGGCCACGUCUUCUUCUGUUUGUAAUAAAGCUUUUCGGUUCCUUGUUCA